AAUGUACUCCCUCCGUCCCAUAUUAAGUGACUCAAAUUUGCCCAAAUAUGGAUGUAUCUGUGCCUAAAAAGCGUCUAGAUACAUGUAAUAGAAAGUCACUUAAUAUGGGACAGAGGGAGUAGUAU
rnacentral:pre_miRNA from 1 species